rnacentral:rRNA from 1 species
GACGAAGGGGCUAGCGUUGUUCGGAAUUACUGGGCGUAAAGCGAGUGUAGGCGGUUGUCCAAGUUGGAUGUGAAAGCCUUGAGCUCAACUCAAGAAAUGCAUUCAGGACUGGGUGACUAGAGGACCGGAGAGGAUAGUGGAAUUCCCAGUGUAGUGGUGAAAUACGUAGAGAUUGGGAAGAACACCAGUGGCGAAGGCGGCUAUCUGGACGGUUACUGACGGCUAAGACUCGAAAGCGUGGGGAG